rnacentral:lncRNA from 1 species
GAAGAUUGAAUUGAAUGAGUCUUUAAACUAGUUUAUUUAAAAAAUACAAAAAAAAAAAAAUAAAAUCCAAUGCAAUUGCUAUAAAUACACAUGAGCUUUAGCGUGCAAACUGCAAACCGCUGAAACCAGGUUGAGCAUGUUAAACCCUAAUUUUAUAAAUAUUGAAAUCGCCGCCACCUAAGCACACUCAGAAAGCUGACCACUAGCUUAGGCUUCUCCAAAUUGUCGUACAGUACAGCACACUCCAGCCUGUGUUCAGUUAAAGGUGCAAAAGUACAACCCACUUCCGUUUGAGUGCUCUCUGUUUUCUUGGUUCUGUGCAAAAAAGUACAAUCCACUUCCGUGUUAGAGUAUCUGUCUGUGCCAGUUUCCAUCUCUGGUAUGUUUCUCUCACCACAAUCUAUUGUAUUAAAUUUUUUUUUUCUUCUUAAGGGACAAUCUAUGUUCUUCUAAUUACGAUCCACCUUAUCAACUUCGAACAAUGUUUUUUCGCAAUGUGCAAGACCUAAAUUUAACACCUAUCCACUACCUCAAUAGAGUAAAUCUAUCUGGGUUCUUAGGUAACCUUUUUUUUCCUUUGCUUCAAAAUAGGAGUCUGAAUUUGUGCU